AUUGAACGCUGGCGGCAGGCCUAACACAUGCAAGUCGAACGAGUGGCGGACGGGUGAGUAAUGUCUGGGAAACUGCCUGAUGGCGGGGGAUAACUACUGGAAACGGUAGCUAAUACCGCAUACCCUCGGAUGUGCCCAGAUGGGAUUAGCUAGUGGGAGGGGUAAAGGUUCACCUAGGCGACGAUCCCUAGCUGGUCUGAGAGGAUGACCAGCCACAAUGGACCUGAGACACGGUCCAGACUCCUACGUGAGGCAGCAGUGGGGAAUAUUGCACAAUGGGCGCAAGCCUGAUGCAGCCAAGCCGCGGGUAUGAAGAAGGCAUUCGGGUUGUAAAGUACGUUCAGCGGGGAGGCGUUGACCGCAGAGGAAACACCGGCUAACUACGUGCCAGCGGCCGCGGUAAUAC
rnacentral:rRNA from 1 species